UGGGGAAUAUUGCACAAUGGGCGCAAGCCUGAUGCAGCCAUGCCGCGUGUGUGAAGAAGGCCUUCGGGUUGUAAAGCACUUUCAGCGGGGAGGAAGGCGUUAAGGUUAAUAACCUUGGCGAUUGACGUUACCCGCAGAAGAAGCACCGGCUAACUCCGUGCCAGCAGCCGCGGUAAUACGGAGGGUGCAAGCGUUAAUCGGAAUUACUGGGCGUAAAGCGCACGCAGGCGGUUUGUUAAGUCAGAUGUGAAAUCCUCGGGCUCAACCUGGGAACUGCAUCUGAUACUGGCAAGCUUGGGUCUCGUAGAGGGGGGUGGAAUUCCAGGUGUAGCGGUGAAAUGCGUAGAGAUCUGGAGGAAUACCGGUGGCGAAGGCGGCCCCCUGGACGAAGACUGACGCUCAGGUGCGAAAGCGUGGGGAGCAAACAGG
rnacentral:rRNA from 1 species